rnacentral:lncRNA from 1 species
ACUAAAUCUGAAAAUUGAACCAACAAUUUAGAAUCCUAGAAAAUUUAACAUCAUCAUUCUAUAAAAAAAAAUUCUUCUUUAGUUCCUGAAGAAAUAAAGAACUUGAAAUUUCUUCCUUCCUUCCUUCCUUCCUUUUUUCCUUCUGCUUUCCCUUUUUUCCUUUCUUCUUUCUUUUCUCCUUUUCUUUCCACUUUUCCUCUGCUUCCUCACCGUUUUUCA